GCCUGGGUGGCUCAGUCAGUUAAGCGUCUGACUUCGGUUCAGGUCAUGAUCUCAUGGUUCGUGGGUUCGACUCCCACGUCAGGCU
rnacentral:tRNA from 1 species